rnacentral:rRNA from 1 species
CUAGUAACGGCCGCCAGUGUGCUGGAAUUCGCCCUUCAGGCCUAACACAUGCAAGUCGAACGGUAGCACAGAGGAGCUUGCUCCUUGGGUGACGAGUGGCGGACGGGUGAGUAAUGUCUGGGAAACUGCCCGAUGGAGGGGGAUAACUACUGGAAACGGUAGCUAAUACCGCAUAACGUCGCAAGACCAAAGAGGGGGACCUUCGGGCCUCUUGCCAUCGGAUGUGCCCAGAUGGGAUUAGCUAGUAGGUGGGGUAACGGCUCACCUAGGUGACGAUCCCUAGCUGGUCUGAGAGGAUGACCAGCCACACUGGAACUGAGACACGGUCCAGACUCCUACGGGAGGCAGCAGUGGGGAAUAUUGCACAAUGGGCGCAAGCCUGAUGCAGCCAUGCCGCGUGUAUGAAGAAGGCCUUCGGGUUGUAAAGUACUUUCAGCGAGGAGGAAGGCAUUGUGGUUAAUAACCGCAGUGAUUGACGUUACUCGCAGAAGAAGCACCGGCUAACUCCGUGCCAGCAGCCGCGGUAAUACGGAGGGUGCAAGCGUUAAUCGGAAUUACUGGGCGUAAAGCGCACGCAGGCGGUCUGUCAAGUCGGAUGUGAAAUCCCCGGGCUCAACCUGGGAACUGCAUCCGAAACUGGCAGGCUAGAGUCUUGUAGAGGGGGGUAGAAUUCCAGGUGUAGCGGUGAAAUGCGUAGAGAUCUGGAGGAAUACCGGUGGCGAAGGCGGCCCCCUGGACAAAGACUGACGCUCAGGUGCGAAAGCGUGGGGAGCAAACAGAAUUAGAUACCCUGGUAGUCCACGCCGUAAACGAUGUCGACUUGGAGGUUGUGCCCUUGAGGCGUGGCUUCCGGAGCUAACGCGUUAAGUCGACCGCCUGGGGGAGUACGGCCGCAAGGUUAAAACUCAAAUGAAUUGACGGGGGGCCCGCACAAGCGGUGGAGCAUGGUGGUUUAAUUCGAUGCAACGCCGAAGAACCUUACCUACUCUUGACAUCCAGAGAACUU